rnacentral:rRNA from 1 species
AUGCCCGAGGUACUCAAUGCUGGGCUGUGCGAAGGAGCACUUGGAUUGUUUGGCAUACAGUUGAUGUUGUCGCAGAAUGGAGAAGACGGUGCGCAGAUGAUCAACAUGCUCCUGCAGAGAACGGCUGAACACCAAGAUGUCAUCGAGAAAAGUAAUGACGAACUUACGAUUUGGUCCGGAGAACACCGAGUUUAUGACACAUUGGAAUGUGGGUGGUCCGUUGGUGACCCCAAAUGGCAUGACACGGAACUCAAAAUGGCCGUGAUGCGUUUUGAAUGCAGUUUUCUCCUCGUCGCCUUUUUUCAUACGGAUCUGAUGGUAUCCAGCUCACAGAUCGAUCUUGGAAAAGAAGGCGGCGCCAGCAAGUUCAUCUAG